AGUCCUUCUUCUUCACCCUUGCCUUGGAAACACCAGUUUCUCUUUCUUUUAUUGUCUGUCACCAACUUGUAUUCUAAAAGUUGAAUGGAACCCCAGCCAUACUCCAAACUCUCUUUUUCCAGCUACCUUUGCUCCCCUCUACUCCAAUUCACUUUCCCCUGUUCUCACAUUCCUUUUCAUUAAAGGGGGAAUGACUGUUCAGGACCGGCCCCUACCUUCCCUCAAGAGCCAUGUCUGUUCUGCACAGGCCUGCCAAGCUGGACACUUUAUACAUGCUUUUACAGACACUGUCAUCUCGGGAGUAUCCACCUUGCAGGCCGAGGACCCCAAGUGAGGGUGAGGCUCUCUGCACACUCCGAUUGAGGACUUGAAGAAUUUGGUGGACCAUACAUGUUAGGAAGAUAAGAGUGGGGUAAGGAGGGUCUGAAGGGAGAGGAACUGACCCUUUUGCUUUCAAACUGGGAGAAAAUCCAAAAAGAAUGCAAACAAUCCUUCCGUCCCAGAAUUAUUUCCCCACCACCACCUCCUGCCAUCAUUUACGAGAGCCAAAUGUGCUGCUUUUCCUUCUUCUUUCCUUCUAUAUGGUCGAAAUGACCAUAUAGCUAGAUCAUUCACAAGCAGGGCACAUUUCCCUCUCAUACUUGAGAAAUGUGAGUGUUCACAAAGAAGGCUGGGUGGAAGAGGGUGGGCCAGGCUUCUUCCUUGCAGUACCUAGAUCCCUGCCCCCAGCACGCCGGCAUCCCCCUGACCAAGGACAGCGGGGCUCUUCCUCAGCUAUAGCUAGAAUCCCCAAAUGCUUGUUGAAGAGUUUUUUCAGACACCCUAUGCCCUAGGGGCUGGAUGUGGAGGGAGGAGCUGUGUUAUAAGCUACUGCCUCCUUGUAUCGGGUCAGAACAAGCCCCAGGAAGAAAGUAUUCCAAACAACAGGUGGAUCUGCCCUAACUUACCCAGAGUCUGCCUGUAGGUGCUGAGAACAGCCUUUUAUGGGGUUUAUGCUAAGCCACAGGCAUGUCUGAACACAGCAAGAAAGAGGCCUGAGUAGCAGCUACACGGCCACUGGUACGUGGGCAUUUCUUUUAAGGGGGCAGGAAGCUCUCAGAGAGUUUCCCCCCUCCCUGUUUUGUUCAGUCCCUGAAAGCCAGGUCACCUCCUCUCUCCCCACAGCCCCAAGCCCAUACCCAAAGAAGUUGCGGUUGUGCCAUUUCCAAACAGAUUUGGGAAAGGAUGCAGGGUCACCAGAAAGCGGACAUCCUAGAUAAGUUUAGGAGCGAGACUGAGGAAUCUCACCCUCUUCCGCCCACCCCCACCCCGACCCCAGGAACAGGCCUGGCUCCAGCUGGGUGUUCUGGUCCCUCAGGAGCUCCUCACCUGCUUUCUCCUCCUGCUUUCUCCUGAUUUCACACUGGCAAAUGGGCCUACAAAGUGCUGUUCAGGCUCACUGGGCAGUGCGUUCUGGAGAGGAACACCCCCCACCCCCACGUUCCAUCACUUUAGUCAGCAAGUUCAUAGGAGAUGCGUUUUUUAAAGUCACCUCAGAAUACCUGACUUCUUCAGCCAGGACCAACCACACUGAGCUCAGUUAUGUCACACUCAGGGGAACACAGACAGAGGGAGAAGAGGACCAGCACCCCAACUAGGUAAACGCAGGGAAGUUCCACUUGGGCUUGUCAGGGAUGACUGUCCUGAAAGGUGAGAAAGAGCAAGAGUGCCCAGCCCUGCAACCCCAGCCCCACCACUCAGCACUGCCUGUCUCUGCUGAAGACACAGGGGUGUCUCGGUGAGCUGGCGCUCUGCAGCCUCGGGAGGGAAUGGACCUGAGGAGGGCGGAGAGCAUCCAGGUCCUCCACAUCUCCCACAGCUCCGUUCAAAGGUCCCGAAGGCCUUUGACUAGGCAAUAACCCUGCGCGCAGAGGUUGGGUUGACAUGUAACCCACCCUCUGAGAAAAAGAUCCCCAGACAAUCCAUGUGUUUCUCUUGUCCUUCAUUCCACCGGAGUCUGUCUCGUACCCAACCAGAUUUCAGUGGAGUGAAGUUCAGGAGGCGUGGAGCUGACACCGCGGCUUCAGCAGCCCCAACAGGAGCAGCCAGAGUAGCUCUGACUUAGAGAAAGAAACACCAGAGAGAGAUGUGGUAGAUGAGGAGCCGUCUGGAGCUCAUGGUCUUCUGCAGACGGCUCGGGCUGUGGGCGCGUGGGAAGCGGCACCGAUAGGAGCUUCCGAUUCUUCAUUUUCUGAAAUGCAUGCAAUAGAAAUGUGUGUUUUCUGUAACUCACAAAAAUUAAAAGUUGUCUGUCUCCUGGAAA